GACGCUGCGCGUGCUAAUACAUGCAAGUCGAACGCUUUGUGGUUCAACUGAUUUGAAGAAGCUUGCUCAGAUAUGACGAUGGACAUUGCAAAGAGUGGCGAACGGGUGAGUAACACGUGGGAAACCUACCUCUUAGCAGGGGAUAACAUUUGGAAACAGAUGCUAAUACCGUAUAACAAUGACAACCGCAUGGUUGUUAUUUAAAAGAUGGUUCUGCUAUCACUAAGAGAUGGUCCCGCGGUGCAUUAGCUAGUUGGUAAGGUAAUGGCUUACCAAGGCGAUGAUGCAUAGCCGAGUUGAGAGACUGAUCGGCCACAAUGGGACUGAGACACGGCCCAUACUCCUACGGGAGGCAGCAGUAGGGAAUCUUCCACAAUGGGCGAAAGCCUGAUGGAGCAACGCCGCGUGUGUGAUGAAGGGUUUCGGCUCGUAAAACACUGUUGUAAGAGAAGAAUGACAUUGAGAGUAACUGUUCAAUGUGUGACGGUAUCUUACCAGAAAGGAACGGCUAAAUACGUGCCAGCAGCCGCGGUAAUACGUAUGUUCCAAGCGUUAUCCGGAUUUAUUGGGCGUAAAGCGAGCGCAGACGGUUAUUUAAGUCUGAAGUGAAAGCCCUCAGCUCAACUGAGGAAUUGCUUUGGAAACUGGAUGACUUGAGUGCAGUAGAGGAAAGUGGAACUCCAUGUGUAGCGGUGAAAUGCGUAGAUAUAUGGAAGAACACCAGUGGCGAAGGCGGCUUUCUGGACUGUAACUGACGUUGAGGCUCGAAAGUGUGGGUAGCAAACAGGAUUAGAUACCCUGGUAGUCCACACCGUAAACGAUGAGUGCUAGGUGUUUGAGGGUUUCCGCCCUUAAGUGCCGCAGCUAACGCAUUAAGCACUCCGCCUGGGGAGUACGACCGCAAGGUUGAAACUCAAAGGAAUUGACGGGGACCCGCACAAGCGGUGGAGCAUGUGGUUUAAUUCGAAGCAACGCGAAGAACCUUACCAGGUCUUGACAUCCCUUGACAACUCCAGAGAUGGAGUGUUCCCUUCGGGGACAAGGUGACAGGUGGUGCAUGGUUGUCGUCAGCUCGUGUCGUGAGAUGUUGGGUUAAGUCCCGCAACGAGCGCAACCCUUAUUACUAGUUGCCAGCAUUCAGUUGGGCACUCUAGUGAGACUGCCGGUGACAAACCGGAGGAAGGUGGGGAUGACGUCAAAUCAUCAUGCCCCUUAUGACCUGGGCUACACACGUGCUACAAUGGCGUAUACAACGAGUUGCCAACCCGCGAGGGUGAGCUAAUCUCUUAAAGUACGUCUCAGUUCGGAUUGUAGGCUGCAACUCGCCUACAUGAAGUCGGAAUCGCUAGUAAUCGCGGAUCAGCACGCCGCGGUGAAUACGUUCCCGGGUCUUGUACACACCGCCCGUCACACCAUGAGAGUUUGUAACACCCAAAGCCGGUGGGGUAACCUUCGGGAGCCAGCCGUCUAAGUGGGACAGAUGAUUAGGGU
rnacentral:rRNA from 1 species